GGGCUCGUGGUCUAGUGGCAUGACGUCGCCCUUACAAGGCGAAGAUUGCAGGUUCAAUUCCUGCCGGGCCCA
rnacentral:tRNA from 1 species